GAUGAACGCUGGCGGCGUGCUCAACACAUGCAAGUCGAACGGAAAGGCCCAAGCUUGCUUGGGUACUCGAGUGGCGAACGGGUGAGUAACACGUGGGUGAUCUGCCCUGCACUUCGGGAUAAGCCUGGGAAACUGGGUCUAAUACCGGAUAGGACCACUUCUUGGAUGUUGUGGUGGAAAGUUUUUUCGGUGUGGGAUGAGCUCGCGGCCUAUCAGCUUGUUGGUGGGGUAAUGGCCUACCAAGGCGUCGACGGGUAGCCGGCCUGAGAGGGUGUACGGCCACAUUGGGACUGAGAUACGGCCCAGACUCCUACGGGAGGCAGCAGUGGGGAAUAUUGCACAAUGGGCGCAAGCCUGAUGCAGCGACGCCGCGUGGGGGAUGACGGCCUUCGGGUUGUAAACUCCUUUCGCUAGGGACGAAGCGUUUUUGUGACGGUACCUGGAGAAGAAGCACCGGCUAACUACGUG
rnacentral:rRNA from 1 species